AUGACCUGGGCUCCUAUCCUGCUCACCCUCCUCCCUCACCUCACAGUGACCGUGGCCCAGGCAAGGCUGACUCAGCCCCAGUCAGUGACUGCGUCCCCGGGACAGACGGCCACACUCACCUGCACGGGAGACAGUCACAGUGUUGGCAACGAGGGUGCAGCUUGGCUGCAGCAACACCCAGGCCAGGCCCCCAGACUCCUGACCCUCAGGAAUAACCAGCGGCCCUCAGGGGUCUCCGAGAGGUUCUCAGGCUCCAGGUCUGGCAGCAUGGCUUCCCUCAGCAUCUCUGGGCUCCAGGCUGAGGACGAGGCUGAUUAUUACUGCUCAGCCUGGGACAGCAGCCUCAGUGCUUACACAGUGCUCCAGGCCAGCGGGGAAGUGAGACCCAAACCCUGA